rnacentral:rRNA from 1 species
UACAGAGGGGGCAAGCGUUGUUCGGAAUUACUGGGCGUAAAGGGCGCGUAGGCGGCCUUCUAAGUCGAACGUGAAAUCCCCGGGCUCAACCCGGGAACUGCGUCCGAUACUGGAAGGCUUGAAUCCGGGAGAGGGAUGCGGAAUUCCAGGUGUAGCGGUGAAAUGCGUAGAUAUCUGGAGGAACACCGGUGGCGAAGGCGGCAUCCUGGACCGGUAUGGACGCUGAGGCGCGAAAGCCAGGGGAGCAAACGGG